CCUAGUAAAAAAGCUAGAAUUACAACAUAAGACCAGAAGACCCUGUGAAGCUUAAAUAAAACUAUUAAACCAUAUAAUAGCUACUUUCGGUUGGGGCGACCUUGGAAAAAAAAAGAACUUCCAAAUAAAAUGAAUAUACCUCAUUAUCUAAACAGGCCAACAAGCCAAAAACGACCCAGCACAGCUGAUAAUUGAACCAAGUUACUCCAGGGAUAACAGCGCAAUCUUCUUCAAGAGCCCAUAUCAAAAAGAAGGUUUACGACCUCGAUGUUGGAUCAGGACAUCCUAAUGGUGCAGCCGCUAUUAAGGGUUCGUUUGUUCAACGAUUAAUA
rnacentral:rRNA from 1 species